rnacentral:tRNA from 1 species
GCGGGGAUAGCCAAGUCUGGUCAAAGGCGCAGGGCUUAGGACCCUGUCCCACAGGGGUUCGUGGGUUCGAGUCCCACUCCCCGCA